rnacentral:lncRNA from 10 species
GGGAGCAGCAGCUGCCAGGGAUCUGCCCUGCUCCCCAGCCGCCCAACUUGGGAAUACUCCUGCAGGCUCUCCACUGCCCACAGAAAGAGCCUCUCCUACAAAAUGACCAGUGGGUGGAUGGAAACGCCAUAGGGGCUUCAGGAGAUCGUCUGGUCCCAUCCCUCUCUGAGCUGCUGCACAAGAUCUCUCUGUGAUGAGUGCGCUCCCAUGGAAGAAGUGUGCUGCCUGGAACAUCUGGCUGAACCUGAUGCUUGCACCUUCCCUGAAGCCAUAAAUCUUAGAGCAUGCAGUCCUGGUUCCUGCUCACUCUUCUCUGCGCUUUCAUCCUUUUGUUUUGCUGCCUGUUCUCACUCCUACCUCCAGCCAUUCACACCCAAAUCCAUCCUGGAAUUCAGAAAAAUACAGAACUCUCCUGCUAUCAGAUGUCACUCUCCAUAGAAGGAAACAGAGGCUUAAAUUACAAAUUCUUUCUUCUGUCAUGUGUACAAGGAUAUCCCUCACACCAUUAUUUAUAAUAAAAGGUUUAAAAUCUACA